rnacentral:lncRNA from 12 species
CUUAUCUGAAAAUGCCUUUUUAAAGGUUUUAUGCAUAAUGCAAGCCCUUCUGUUCUGUACAGAAAAUAGUGAGUGAUAUGCAAGCAAAUUCAGAAAUUGAAAAAUAUUUAAAAAUAAUUAAAAAGCCAGAUUUGGAGAUUCUGCUCUGGUUUGCUCGAAUUAAGAAGCAGUGACAUCUUAAAAGGCUUUUAUGCUGUUGUGACUAGGGGAAGUAGGGCAGAGUGACACAAUAGAAAACAUUAGGUCCAAACUUUCUCUAAUGUAGGUUUUAGGGCUUAAAAAAGAGAUACAAAGGGUUAUUGAAGUUUUUAAAUAUGCUUCUUAUUGUCAAUUCAUGUCACUGAAGAGAGUUUGCCCUUGCUUACACAGGAGAGGAGCUUUUAGAUCUUCAACCAGACACCUGCCAGAAGUACCUUUAACAUGCAAACUAGCCAAGGGAGUUUGCCGGCUUCUAGUCACCAUCAAAGCAGAGAACCUGAAGAAAGAUCCCACACAUCUUCCAGGCACUGCCCCUGAGCUAUCCCUAAUGAAGAGUCAGGAAAACCAGGUAUGGAAACCAUCACCCAUGAUGAAAGCAUCCGUGAAGAUACCGCUUUGGAGGGGUUCAGAUUGUAGAGAAGAAAAGAGGUUUUGAGAGCUCAUUACUGGAUCACUGAACUGGUAAGAAUUACAAAGAGCUCCGUUUUCUUUUUAGUUUUAUAUGUGCAUUGAA